GACGAACGCUGGCGGCGUGCUUAACACAUGCAAGUCGAACGGAAAGGCCCUGCUUUUGUUGGGUGCUCGAUUGGCGAACGGGGGAGUAACACGUGAGUAACCUGCCCUUGACUUUGGGAUAACUUCAGGAAACUGGGGCUAAUACCGGAUAGGAGCUCCUGCUGCAUGGUGGGGGUUGGAAAGUUUCGGCGGUUGGGGAUGGACUCGCGGCUUAUCAGCUUGUUGGUGGGGUAGUGGCUUACCAAGUCUUUGACGGGUAGCCGGCCUGAGAGGGUAACCGGACACAUUGGGACUGAGAUACGGCCCAGACUCGACUGGGACGCAGCAGAGGGGAAUAGUGCACAAUGGGAGGAAGCCUGAUGCAGCCACGCCGCGUGCGGGAUGACGGCAUUCGGGUUGUAAACUGAUUUCGCCUGUGCCGAAGCGUGAGUGACGGUACUGGGUAAAGAAGCACCGGCUAACUACGUG
rnacentral:rRNA from 1 species